CAGUCUAAGAGAGCUGCAUUCAUUUCUGGUCAGGCCACAGAUGCAGGUUACCAAGCAAAUGUUUCAUUGUCCCCUAGGAGCCAGCACUCUAACUUUUGUCAUAAGAAAAUGAUGCACACAGAAGCAACCUAUAUGCUGUGCUCUGUUAUCUACUGAUGCCUGUGUUCUCCUCAACACUGUGGCAGUCAACUAUCUGGAGGGAUAUGGAGCUUAGUGGGAAGCUGCCACAUCUUCACUUUUGCUUCAAUAAGGUUCUAACCAUGAAAACUGCACUCCAACUAGAGAGAAUAAUUUCCAUUCUCAAACUCUGGAG